rnacentral:rRNA from 1 species
CCUACGGGUGGCAGCAGUGAGGAAUAUUGGUCAAUGGCCGUAAGGCUGAACCAGCCAAGUCGCGUGAAGGAAGAAGGAUCUAUGGUUUGUAAACUUCUUUUAUAGGGGAAUAAAGGUAUCCACGUGUGGAUAUUUGCAUGUACCCUAUUAAUAAGCAUUGGCUAAAUCCGUUCCAGCAGCCGCCGUAAUACGGAGGAUGCCCGCGUUAUCCGGAUUUCUUGGGUUUAAAGGGUGCGUAGGGGGUUUUUUAAGUCAGCGGUGAAAGUUUGUGGCUCAACCAUACAAUUGCCGUUGAAACUGGAGGACUUGAGUGUGUUUGAGGUAGGCGGAAUGCGUGGUGUAGCGGUGAAAUGCAUAGAUAUCACGCAGAACUCCGAUUGCGAAGGCAGCUUACUAAGCCAUAACUGACGCUGAAGCACGAAAGCGUGGGGAUCAAACAGGAUUAGAUACCCUAGUAGUC